rnacentral:rRNA from 1 species
UUGCGUAGGUGGUUUAAUAAGCGAAUAGUGAAAUCUGGUGGCUCAACCAUUCAGACUAUUAUUCGAACUGUUGAACUCGAGAGCAGAAGAGGUAGCUGGAAUUUCUAGUGUAGGAGUGAAAUCCGUAGAUAUUAGAAGGAACACCGAUGGCGUAGGCAGGCUACUGGGCUGUUUCUGACACUGAGGCACGAAAGCGUGGGGAGGCGAACCCG